rnacentral:rRNA from 1 species
CGUGCGCUGCUAUACAUGCAGUCGAGCGAAUGGAUUAAGAGCUUGCUCUUAUGAAGUUAGCGGCGGACGGGUGAGUAACACGUGGGUAACCUGCCCAUAAGACUGGGAUAACUCCGGGAAACCGGGGCUAAUACCGGAUAACAUUUUGAACCGCAUGGUUCGAAAUUGAAAGGCGGCUUCGGCUGUCACUUAUGGAUGGACCCGCGUCGCAUUAGCUAGUUGGUGAGGUAACGGCUCACCAAGGCAACGAUGCGUAGCCGACCUGAGAGGGUGAUCGGCCACACUGGGACUGAGACACGGCCCAGACUCCUACGGGAGGCAGCAGUAGGGAAUCUUCCGCAAUGGACGAAAGUCUGACGGAGCAACGCCGCGUGAGUGAUGAAGGCUUUCGGGUCGUAAAACUCUGUUGUUAGGGAAGAACAAGUGCUAGUUGAAUAAGCUGGCACCUUGACGGUACCUAACCAGAAAGCCACGGCUAACUACGUGCCAGCAGCCGCGGUAAUACGUAGGUGGCAAGCGUUAUCCGGAAUUAUUGGGCGUAAAGCGCGCGCAGGUGGUUUCUUAAGUCUGAUGUGAAAGCCCACGGCUCAACCGUGGAGGGUCAUUGGAAACUGGGAGACUUGAGUGCAGAAGAGGAAAGUGGAAUUCCAUGUGUAGCGGUGAAAUGCGUAGAGAUAUGGAGGAACACCAGUGGCGAAGGCGACUUUCUGGUCUGUAACUGACACUGAGGCGCGAAAGCGUGGGGAGCAAACAGGAUUAGU